CGAGUUUGAUCCUGGCUCAGAUUGAACGCUGGCGGCAGGCCUAACACAUGCAAGUCGAGCGUGAAAGGGCUUCGGCCUGAGUAAAGCGGCGGACGGGUGAGUAACGCGUAGGAAUCUACCUGGUAGUGGGGGAUAACGUUCCGAAAGGGACGCUAAUACCGCAUACGUUCCGAGGAAGAAAGCAGGGGAUCGCAAGACCUUGCGCUGAUUGAGCGGCCGAUAUCAGAUUAGCUAGUUGGUGAGGUAAAGGCUCACCAAGGCGACGAUCUGUAGCGGGUCUGAGAGGAUGAUCCGCCACACUGGAACUGAGACACGGUCCAGACUCCUACGGGAGGCUGCAGUGGGGAAUUUUGGACAAUGGGCGCAAGCCUGAUCCAGCCAUGCCGCGUGAGUGAAGAAGGCCUUCGGGUUGUAAAGCUCUUUCGGCCGGGAAGAAAUCGCACAGGUUAAUACCCUGUGUAGAUGACGGUACCGGAAUAAGAAGCACCGGCUAACUACGUG
rnacentral:rRNA from 1 species